AUUGAACGCUGGCGGAAUGUCUUUACACAUGCAAGUCGAACGGCAGCGACGGGUGCUUGCACCUGGUGGCGAGUGGCGAACGGGUGAGUAAUGCGUCGGAACGUGCCGAGUAAGUGGGGGAUAACGCAGCGAAAGUUGUGCUAAUACCGCAUACCGCCCUGGAGGGGGAAAGGUGGGGGAUCGCAAGACCUCACGUUAUUCGAGCGGCCGACGUCUGAUUAGCUAGUUGGGUGGGGUAAAGGCCUACCAAGGCGACGAUCAGUAGCGGGUCUGAGAGGAUGAUCCGCCACACUGGGACUGAGACACGGCCCAGACUCCUACGGGAGGCAGCAGGU
rnacentral:rRNA from 1 species